GAGCGUCCGUCACAAGCGCUUUAUUCACUUCUGAAUCAAAACUACUGUUGGUGGUGAAUAAGAAAGUCUACAUAUACAAUUAUCUUACGGAGAAAUGGAUUAGAACUGGAGGUAUAUCAGGGAAAGUCUCACACGUCAGCGGCGACAGUUGUUGUUUUCACAAUGAAUUUUGCCUGGAGUUAUCGAAUAGAAUUUUUGCGUAUCUCCGUGGUGGACCGCUGCCUAACACCAAAAUAUUCUCCUCUGACAAUGGAGGAUUCUCGUUCGAGCUCCUGUACAGUGACAGCCUGGAUACACUUACAGGGACCUUAGGAGGCAUAUUCCACUUCCAUUCCUUGUCUCAGGUGGGAAUACUCCAGGUUAAAGACC